rnacentral:SRP_RNA from 1 species
GCCUGGUGCGGUGGUACAAGCCUGUAGUUCCAACUAUUCAGGAGGCUGAAGCAGGAGGAUUGCUUGAGCCCAAGAGUUCUGGGCUAUAAUGCACUAUGUUGAUCAGGUGUCUGCACUGUUUGCAUCAGUAUGGGACCUCCCAGGAGUGAGGACCACCAGGUUGCCUAAAGUGGGGUUAGUCAGCCCAGGUUGGAAACAGCAGGUCUAAACUCCAGUGCUGAUCAGUAGUGGGAUUGCACCUGUGAAUUGCCACUGCACUCCAGCUUGGGCAACAUAGCGAGACCCGCUCUCU